UGUGUGUGUGUGUGUGUGUGUACAAAUAGUGGACAAAGACAGAUUAGACAGGUAAAAAAUCAAUCAUUUUUUGCAACCCAGAUUUCAUUGUUCAGUAUGAGUUUUGGUAUAUAGAAGAAAAAAUAUA